rnacentral:rRNA from 1 species
UACGGAGGGGGCUAGCGUUUUUCGGAAUUACUGGGCGUAAAGCGCACGUAGGCGGACUGGAAAGUCAGGGGUGAAAUCCCGGGGCUCAACCCUGGAACUGCCUUUGAAACUCCCGGUCUUGAGGUCGAGAGAGGUGAGUGGAAUUCCGAGUGUAGAGGUGAAAUUCGUAGAUAUUCGGAGGAACACCAGUGGCGAAGGCGGCUCACUGGCUCGAUACUGACGCUGAGGUGCGAAAGCGUGGGGAGCAAACAGG